UACAGGUAAAAGUAAUAAAGAGAUCAGGC
rnacentral:piRNA from 1 species